AUUUUUAUGGUGUAAAUAAACACACUGUACUUUCAAAACAGAGCUAAACUAUAUUUAUAGCAGAUA
rnacentral:tRNA from 1 species